UACGUAGGCAGCAAGCGUUGUUCGGAAUUACUGGGCGUAAAGCGUGCGCAGGCGGUGAUGUAAGACAGAUGUGAAAUCCCCGGGCUCAACCUGGGAACUGCAUUUGUGACUGCAUCGCUGGAGUGCGGCAGAGGGGGAUGGAAUUCCGCGUGUAGCAGUGAAAUGCGUAGAUAUGCGGAGGAACACCGAUGGCGAAGGCAAUCCCCUGGGCCUGCACUGACGCUCAUGCACGAAAGCGUGGGGAGCAAACAGG
rnacentral:rRNA from 1 species